CCCGAAGAUUUGGCACCAUUUGAGUACGCGAGUCGCGACUAUUGAUUUCAAUUAAACGCGACAUUAAGUACCGAUUCCCAUCUCUUUGUAUCCAGACGGACCAUCGUGUAGUUUUUUUUCCUUACCCAGUUGCUGAUGCAGAGACCUUGCGGAAGGAAGAUUGCAAAACAUGCACGUGAGUUUGCUAUGGGCAUUAUGUCACCGAUGUGUCAGAGCUGCUAAAUUUAUAUGCAGUAGGCAAAGCUAUAAGGAGCCCGCCGCCGUCUGAAAUACUGGCAGACUUUCACAAGAAUUACAGUGGUGGAUGUGUAGAGGAUACUGACAUAAGCAUGCUUGCCAAGAAAUGUUUGCUGUCAACCGAGGAUGUUAAAUUGUGGUUUCAGUACUUGACGCUUGACGCAAUUUCUGUGAACAGGAAAAGAGGUGCUUGAAAAGCAAAAGCAACAAGAGAAAAGCGGAGCAAGGGAAAGUAACUCAGCAGCCAGAAGUUGAUUACGUCGAUGGGGGCAAUAUAGUUGAGCAUCGCUGAGACCAUUCAUUGCGUACUAGGACUCAGAAAAGUUGGGAUUGAUUAUUGUAGAUAGAAACCGUACUGUGUCACCACGCUCUGAACUCAAAUCAUGUACGGUUUUCAUGGUCGAACAGACCAACCUAAGGUACCUUCUACAGCACCAGGGCACCGCAAUUCAACAUUGAGGUCGCAAACAUUGUCCUCGAUAAGAACUCUCCGACAAUAUUACGCUGUUAUCCCUACGGUAGCUUUUAUCCGCUUUCGAUAUUUAUUUUGGACUAUGAUAUCGGGUCAUUAUCGCCCACAUAGGACUAUGUAUUUGUGCCAGCUAGGGGUGUCCCCCUCACUGUCAGGCUAAUGAGAUCAGCUUUUAUACCAAUAAGCUCGCCUUCGUUUCUUAUUCAAAGGUAGUCGCCCCAACUAAACUGUCUUACCAACAAAAUUACUUACUCAAAAUUAGGAUACUUGUAUCGAUCAUUUUUAGUAAACGUUAUUGGUAUCCAGUAAA